rnacentral:rRNA from 1 species
UACGGAGGGGGCUAGCGUUGUUCGGAAUUACUGGGCGUAAAGCGCACGUAGGCGGUUUGUUAAGUCAGGGGUGGAAUCCCAGAGCUCAACUCUGGAACUGCCUCUGAUACUGGCAAGCUAGAGUCCGGAAGAGGUAAGUGGAACUCCUAGUGUAGAGGUGGAAUUCGUAGAUAUUAGGAAGAACACCAGUGGCGAAGGCGGCUUACUGGUCCGGAACUGACGCUGAGGUGCGAAAGCGUGGGGAGCAAACAGG